rnacentral:rRNA from 1 species
CCUACGGGAGGCAGCAGUAAGGAAUAUUGGUCAAUGGAGGCAACUCUGAACCAGCCAUGCCGCGUGCAGGAAGACUGCCCUAUGGGUUGUAAACUGCUUUUAUCCGGGAAUAAACCUCUCUACGUGUAGGGAGCUGAAUGUACCGGAAGAAUAAGGAUCGGCUAACUCCGUGCCAGCAGCCGCGGUAAUACGGAGGAUCCAAGCGUUAUCCGGAUUUAUUGGGUUUAAAGGGUGCGUAGGCGGCCUGUUAAGUCAGGGGUGAAAGACGGUAGCUCAACUAUCGCAGUGCCCUUGAUACUGACGGGCUUGAAUAGACUAGAGGUAGGCGGAAUGAGACAAGUAGCGGUGAAAUGCAUAGAUAUGUCUCAGAACACCGAUUGCGAAGGCAGCUUACUAUGGUCUUAUUGACGCUGAGGCACGAAAGCGUGGGGAGUCAAACAGGAUUAGAUACCCUGGUAGUCCACGCCCUAAACGAUGAACACUCGCUGUUGGCGAUACACAGUCAGCGGCUAAGCGAAAGCGUUAAGUGUUCCACCUGGGGAGUACGGUCGCGAGAUUGAACGUCAAAGGAAGUUGACGG